UGAUGUUAAAUCAUAAAAAGUUAACUUUCAACUUGGAUUGGCAAAUCAUAGCAAAAUCGUUCGUGUUACCCACUUUGAAGAAUCCCACUAAAGCGUUAUAUAUACAUGCACUUUCUGGAAGUAAAGAGGUUUUUAAGGAAAAACUCAUAAGAUGUGAAAAAUGUUAUUUGACCGUUCACAAAGUGUGCUAUGGCAUAACUGUAGAUACAAGUAGUCAAUGGUUGUGUGAUCGAUGCACGAAAAAUCCUAAGUUUGCUGCUUGUGUAUACUGUCCAUUGAAAGGUGGUGCUAUAAAAAAAUUUAAAAUCAAUGGAUGGUCACAUGUUGAAUGACAUCUUUUUGUGCACGGCAGUAGUCCAUUAACUACCAAUACUUUUUCAACAGACUUUAU